AAAAUAUCAGAAAAAAGCAGAAAGGACAUUCAAGCACCGUCUCCACCAUCGGAGUCGAUCAGAGCUGGAUCUAGCUGAGCAGCAGCCAAUUUUUCCUUACCACGCUCCCGACAAUCUUCAUAGCCUUCGGAAUAAACCCUCAAGAUCUCAACAUUAAUCUCGUCAGACUCUCGAUAGUCGGCCUGGAUCUGCUUACGCACUUCUUCAGUCAGAAGAGGACCUCGUCCCUCGAGUUCCUUUAUCUUGUGACGAAGCUUGUGACGUUUGGCCCUAUAC
rnacentral:lncRNA from 1 species